GCGGGCAGGAGCCGGGGUGCGGGCAGGGCCGCCGCUCUCCCGGCUUCCCGCCUAGUGAGCGCACCUUGGACCCCUGCGGCUUUUCCGAGCCGAAACUCACGGGCUGUGGCCGGCUUCGUUUCGCGUUGUGCAGCUCCGCGACCGCCCGUGGCCACACCAGUCGGAGACUUCGUGCUUUACGAUGGGGGCGCAGCGGUCUGGCACGCGCAGGACCCCGGGCCUUGCACCCCAACGCUGGCCGCCCUGGACCCGCGGCGGGGACCCGCGCAGUCAGGGUACUUGCCCAUACCGAUGGGGUGGGGACCAGCACGGAGCCUUUCCUUCGCCCUGCGGCUUCUGUUCCUUUCAGGACGGACAGCGCCCACCCGGAGGAAAGCCUGACAGACGAGACUUCGCAAGAUGAGAACUCCCUUCGCUCCGCAGGCAGCGGAGGCAGCUGCAGGGCGCUGACCUUCCCUGCCUCAUUGCCUCCCCUCCUCCGCCAGAUGCGCUCUGGGGGGCCCUCCCGAUGGCUGCGGGGAGAUCAGGGCUGGACAAAGGGAAUCCAACGGGGAAGUAGGUGGCACCGACGGGGGAGGGGAAGGCGGGACGCACCCCAAGACCCCGGUCCCUCAUUCCCAUCCCUGCAUAGAUCACCCAGCAACCAGGACACCCCUCCAGGGCCAGUACUACAGCCAGGGACUGUGUAUGCAGACGUGGCCCGGCCUGGCGGGCCUGCCCUGACUGGAAAGGAGGUCAAGCCGUGCACCUAAGGCUGGGCUGGCACCUCCGCUGAGCCAGCUCUGGGUCUGCAGGGGUGGGGAGGGGUCUCUGGCAACUGGACCCUGAGCUCCUGCAACCCCUUCCUGUGCUCUCCUUGCCUGGGGGAAGAGUGAGGAGAGGCUGGCUAUUCUGCUCACGGUGUCCUUGGUCCCUGACCUCUGGAUGGCCAUGUCUCCGCCCACCACGGAGUCCCCCCACCAGCCUCACGAACUCAUGGUCAUCUUGAAAAACCCAGGGCAGUGGUCAGGCCCCCACAGGAUCUCAGGGGCUCUGCCAGAGCCCAGGCCCAGUGGUCAGGCCCCCACCAACUGCGGUCACGGUGCACCUCCGUCCCGGGCAUGGAGGGCCCUGACGCCCUACACCAGCCUGUUGGGCCGCUGGCAGGGUCUGCUGAGGCCUCUGCGCCUGUCGCAGAGAGGUUGGGGGCAGAGACCUUGGGAGAGGC